GACGAACGCUGGCGGCGUGCUUAACACAUGCAAGUCGAACGGAAAGGCCCUGCUUUUGUGGGGUGCUCGAGUGGCGAACGGGUGAGUAAAACGUGAGUAACAUGCCCUUGUCUUUGGGAUAACUUCAGGAAACUGGGGCUAAUAUAGGAUAGAAGCUCCUGCUGCGUGGGGGGGGAUGGAAAGUUUCGGCGGUUGGGGAUGGAAUCGCGGGUUAUCAGCUGGUUGGGGGGGUAGUGGCUUACCAAGGCUUUGACGGGUAGCAUGCCUGGGAGGGUGACCGGGCACCUUGGGACUACGAGACGGCCCAGACUCCUAUGGGAGGCAGCAGGGGGGAAUAUUGCACAAUGGGCGGAAGCCUGAUGCAGCAACGCCGCGUGCGUGAUGCUGGCCUUCGGGUUGUAAACAGCUUUGGCCGGUGAUGAAGCGUGAGUGACGGUAAUGGGUAAAGAAGCCCCGGCUAACUACGUG
rnacentral:rRNA from 1 species